rnacentral:rRNA from 1 species
CGGGACACGUGGUAUCCUGUCUGAAUAUGGGGGGACCAUCCUCCAAGGCUAAAUACUCCUGACUGACCGAUAGUGAACCAGUACCGUGAGGGAAAGGCGAAAAGAACCCCGGCGAGGGGAGUGAAAAAGAACCUGAAACCGUGUACGUACAAGCAGUGGGAGCACGCUUAGGCGUGUGACUGCGUACCUUUUGUAUAAUGGGUCAGCGACUUAUAUUCUGUAGCAAGGUUAACCGAAUAGGGGAGCCGAAGGGAAACCGAGUCUUAACUGGGCGUUAAGUUGCAGGGUAUAGACCCGAAACCCGGUGAUCUAGCCAUGGGCAGGUUGAAGGUUGGGUAACACUAACUGGAGGACCGAACCGACUAAUGUUGAAAAAUUAGCGGAUGACUUGUGGCUGGGGGUGAAAGGCCAAUCAAACCGGGAGAUAGCUGGUUCUCCCCGAAAGCUAUUUAGGUAGCGCCUCGUGAAUUCAUCUCCGGGGGUAGAGCACUGUUUCGGCAAGGGGGUCAUCCCGACUUACCAACCCGAUGCAAACUGCGAAUACCGGAGAAUGUUAUCACGGGAGACACACGGCGGGUGCUAACGUCCGUCGUGAAGAGGGAAACAACCCAGACCGCCAGCUAAGGUCCCAAAGUCAUGGUUAAGUGGGAAACGAUGUGGGAAGGCCCAGACAGCCAGGAUGUUGGCUUAGAAGCAGCCAUCAUUUAAAGAAAGCGUAAUAGCUCACUGGUCGAGUCGGCCUGCGCGGAAGAUGUAACGGGGCUAAACCAUGCACCGAAGCUGCGGCAGCGACACUAUGUGUUGUUGGGUA